UGCAUAGAUACCAUAAAGACACCGUAUAGCGUAUGCAGCUCACUAAGCUUAAACUGACGCUGAGUCACGAAAGCAUGGUGAGCGAACAGGAUUAGAUACCCUGGUAGUCCAUGCUGUAUACGAUGAUCACUCGCUGUUGACCCUAGAUGGUCAGUGGCUUAGCGUAAGCGUUAAGUGAUCCACCUGGGUAGUACGUCCGCGAGGAUGUAACUCAAAGGAAUUGACGGGGGUCCGCACAAUCGGUGGAGCAUGUGGUUAAUUCUGAUGAUACGCGAGGAACCUUACCUGGGCUCGAAUGGUAGUGGACGGUACUAGAUAUCGUACUUCCUUCUGUCUGCUAUCAAGGUGCUGCAUGUCUGUCGUCAGCUCGUUCCGUUAGGUGUUGGUUUAAGUCCCGCAACGAGCGCAACCAUUAUACUUAGUUGCCAGCACGUCAUGGUGGGGACUCUAAGUAGACUGCCUGCGCCCGCAGAGACCAAGGAGGGGAUGACGUCAAGUCAUCAUGGCCCUUACGCCCAGGGCUACACACGUGCUACAAUGGCGCAUACAGAGGGUAGCUACAGAGUGAUCUGAUGCCAAUCUCAAUAAGUGCGUCUCAGUUCGGAUGAGGUUCUGCAACUCGAC
rnacentral:rRNA from 1 species